rnacentral:rRNA from 1 species
AGCAGUCGCCGCGGUAAUACGAAGGGUGCAAGCGUUAAUCGGAAUUACUGGGCGUAAAGCGUGCGUAGGCGGUUUGUUAAGUCUGUUGUGAAAUCCCCGGGCUCAACCUGGGAAUGGCAAUGGAUACUGGCAAGCUAGAGUGUGUCAGAGGAUGGUGGAAUUCCCGGUGUAGCGGUGAAAUGCGUAGAGAUCGGGAGGAACAUCAGUGGCGAAGGCGGCCAUCUGGGACAACACUGACGCUGAGGCACGAAAGCGUGGGGAGCAAACAGGAUUAGAUACCCCCGUAGUCCCUGUCUCUUAUAC